rnacentral:rRNA from 1 species
UACGAAGGGUGCAAGCGUUACUCGGAAUUACUGGGCGUAAAGCGUGCGUAGGUGGUGAGUUAAGUCUGUCGUGAAAGCCCCGGGCUCAACCUGGGAAUGGACGAUGGAUACUGGCUCGCUAGAGUGCGGUAGAGGAGAGUGGAAUUCCCGGUGUAGCAGUGAAAUGCGUAGAGAUCGGGAGGAACAUCAGUUGCGAAGGCGGCUCUCUGGACCAGCACUGACACUGAGGCACGAAAGCGUGGGGAGCAAACAGG